GAUGAACACUGGCGGCGUGCCUAAUACAUGCAAGUCGAGCGAACAGACGAGGAGCUUGCUCCUCUGACGUUAGCGGCGGACGGGUGAGUAACACGUGGAUAACCUACCUAUAAGACUGGGAUAACUUCGGGAAACCGGAGCUAAUACCGGAUAAUAUAUUGAACCGCAUGGUUCAAUAGUGAAAGACGGUUUUGCUGUCACUUAUAGAUGGAUCCGCGCCGCAUUAGCUAGUUGGUAAGGUAACGGCUUACCAAGGCAACGAUGCGUAGCCGACCUGAGAGGGUGAUAGGCCACACUGGAACUGAGACACGGUCAAGACUCCUACGGGAGGCAGCAGUAGGGAAUCUUCCGCAAUGGGCGAAAGCUUGACGGAGCAACGCCGCGUGAGUGAUGAAGGUCUUCGGAUCGUAAAACUCUGUUAUUAGGGAAGAACAAAUGUGUAAGUAACUAUGCACGUCUUGACGGUACCUAAUCAGAAAGCCACGGCUAACUACGUG
rnacentral:rRNA from 1 species